rnacentral:rRNA from 1 species
UACAGAGGUGGCAAGCGUUGUUCGGAAUUACUGGGCGUAAAGGGCGCGUAGGUGGCCUUUUGAGUCAGACGUGAAAUCCCCCGGCUUAACCUGGGAACUGCGUCUGAUACUGGAAGGCUUGAAUCCGGGAGAGGGAUGUGGAAUUCCAGGUGUAGCGGUGAAAUGCGUAGAUAUCUGGAGGAACACCGGUGGCGAAGGCGGCAUCCUGGACCGGUAUUGACGCUGAGGCGCGAAAGCUAGGGGAGCAAACGGG